rnacentral:rRNA from 1 species
AGCGUUGUCCGGAAUUAUUGGGCGUAAAGAGCUCGUAGGCGGUUUGUCGCGUCUGCUGUGAAAUCCCGAGGCUCAACCUCGGGUCUGCAGUGGGUACGGGCAGACUAGAGUGCGGUAGGGGAGAUUGGAAUUCCUGGUGUAGCGGUGGAAUGCGCAGAUAUCAGGAGGAACACCGAUGGCGAAGGCAGAUCUCUGGGCCGCUACUGACGCUGAGGAGCGAAAGGGUGGGGAGCAAACAGGCUUAGAUACCCUGGUAGUCCACCCCGUAAACGUUGGGCGCUAGAUGUGGGGACCAUUCCACGGUUUCCGUGUCGUAGCUAACGCAUUAAGCGCCCCGCCUGGGGAGUACGGCCGCAAGGCUAAAACUCAAAGGAAUUGACGGGGGCCCGCACAAGCGGCGGAGCAUGCGGAUUAAUUCGAUGCAACGCGAAGAACCUUACCAAGGCUUGACAUAUACGAGAACGGGCCAGAAAUGGUCAACUCUUUGGACACUCGUAAACAGGUGGUGCAUGGUUGUCGUCAGCUCGUGUCGUGAGAUGUUGGGUUAAGUCCCGCAACGAGCGCAACCCUCGUUCUAUGUUGCCAGCACGUAAUGGUGGGAACUCAUGGGAUACUGCCGGGGUCAACUCGGAGGAAGGUGGGGACGACGUCAAAUCAUCAUGCCCCUUAUGUCUUGGGCUUCACGCAUGCUACAAUGGCCAGUACAAAGGGCUGCAAUACCGUAAGGUGGAGCGAAUCCCAAAAAGCUGGUCCCAGUUCGGAUUGAGGUCUGCAACUCGACCUCAUGAAGUCGGAGUCGCUAGUAAUCGCAGAUCAGCAACGCUGCGGUGAAUACGUUCCCGGGCCUUGUACACACCGCCCGUCAAGUCAUGAAAGUCGGUAACACCCGAAGCCA